GGACUACCGGGGUAUCUAAUCCCGUUCGCUCCCCUAGCUUUCGCCCCCGAGCGUCAGGUACCAGCCAGGACACUGCCUUCGCCUUUGGUGUUCUUCCAGAUAUCUACGCAUUUCACCACUACACCUGGAGUUCCAUGUCCCUCUCUGGUCCUCGAAGAGCAGCCGUUUUUGCACACCUCUGCCAGUUAAGCUGGCAGCUGUCAGUGCAAACGCGCCACCCCGCCUGCGGGCGCUUUACGCCCAGUAACUCCGGACAACACUCGCCCCCUACGUAUUACCGCGGCUGCUGGCAC
rnacentral:rRNA from 1 species